rnacentral:tRNA from 1 species
UUUGGCUUGGCAGACAUUAUGCAACCGAUUUAGGUUCGGGAGAUAUAUAUAUAUAGCUGUAG